GAUGAAGAACGUAGCGAAAUGCGAUAAGUAAUGCGAAUUGCAGAAUCCGUGAGUCAUCGAAUCUUUGAACGCACAUUGCGCCCCCUGGAAUUCCGGGGGGCAUGCCUGUUCGAGCGUCUCAGGGACGAACCCUCGCGCGGGUGUACGCGCGGUCGUGGCUGCGGUGGCGUGCCCGAGGCGGCGGCCACCGCGCUGGAAUCCAUGGGCGGACGCCUGCCGCGUGGCCGAGCGUGAUAUGACGCAUUGGCGCUCGCACGCGGCGAGGCUGCCAGCCCUGGCCCGUCUGUCGGGCGGGGGAGAGCAAGACACGUGAACUCCUCGAAUCAGGUAGGGAUACCCGCUGAACUUAAGCAUAUCAAUAAGCGGAGGA
rnacentral:misc_RNA from 1 species